rnacentral:rRNA from 1 species
CCCUUAGAUGUUCUGGGCCGCACGCGCGCUACACUGAAGCACUCAACGAGUCCACCUCGACCGACAGGUCUGGGAAACCUUUUGAAAUUGCUUCGUGAUGGGGAUAGAUUAUUGCAACUAUUAAUCUUCAACGAGGAAUUCCUAGUAAGCGCAUGUCAUCAGCGUGCGUUGAUUACGUCCCUGCCCUUUGUACACACCGCCCGUCGCUCCUACCGAUUGAAUGAUCCGGUGAGGCCCCCGGACUGGGGCGACGCAUUCGGUUCGCCGGACGCGACGCUCCGGGAAGCUGUCCAAACCUUAUUAUUUAGAGGAAGGAGAAGUCGUANCA